rnacentral:lncRNA from 1 species
AUGGUGCAUCGUGAUACCAAGAAAGAGAAAAAGGAUGAAGAAUUGGAGGAGGUUCGGUACUUACAUGUCGGAGUGGCUCCGACGGCCCUUUGCGGUGAUGAAUGUGCCGGAAAUCCAGGGGAAUCUUCAUUGCAGAUUAAGCGUGAGAUGUUAAGAAGAGACGAUAAGAGUGAAGCAGAUGCGUUUGCAGCAUUGCAGAAAUGA